rnacentral:rRNA from 1 species
AUUGAACGCUGGCGGCAGGCUCAACACAUGCAAGUCGAGCGGGGGAAGGUAGCUUGCUACCGGACCUAGCGGCGGACGGGUGAGUAAUGCUUAGGAAUCUGCCUAUUAGUGGGGGACAACAUCUCGAAAGGGAUGCUAAUACCGCAUACGUCCUACGGGAGAAAGCAGGGGAUCUUCGGACCUUGCGCUAAUAGAUGAGCCUAAGUCGGAUUAGCUAGGUGGUGGGGUAAAGGCCUACCAAGGCGACGAUCUGUAGCGGGUCUGAGAGGAUGAUCCGCCACACUGGGACGGGGACACGGCCCAGACUCCUACGGGAGGCAGCAGUGGGGAAUAUUGGACAAUGGGGGGAACCCUGAUCCAGCCAUGCCGCGUGUGUGAAGAAGGCCUUAUGGUUGUAAAGCACUUUAAGCGAGGAGGAGGCUACUUUAGUUAAUACCUAGAGAUAGUGGACGUUACUCGCAGAAUAAGCACCGGCUAACUCUGUGCCAGCCGCCGCCGUAA